AGCGACGCCGCGUGAGGGAUGACGGCCUUCGGGUUGUAAACCUCUUUCAGCAGGGAAGAAGCCACAAGUGACGGUACCUGCAGAAGAAGCGCCGGCUAACUACGUGCCAGCAGCCGCGGUAAUACGUAGGGCGCAAGCGUUGUCCGGAAUUAUUGGGCGUAAAGAGCUCGUAGGCGGUUUGUCGCGUCUGCUGUGAAAGCCCGGGGCUUAACCCCGGGUGUGCAGUGGGUACGGGCAGACUAGAGUGCAGUAGGGGAGACUGGAAUUCCUGGUGUAGCGGUGGAAUGCGCAGAUAUCAGGAGGAACACCGAUGGCGAAGGCAGGUCUCUGGGCUGUUACUGACGCUGAGGAGCGAAAGCAUGGGGAGCGAACAGGAUUAGAUACCCUGGUAGUCCAUGCCGUAAACGUUGGGCACUAGGUGUGGGGGACAUUCCACGUUUUCCGCGCCGUAGCUAACGCAUUAAGUGCCCCGCCUGGGGAGUACGGCCGCAAGGCUAAAACUCAAAGGAAUUGACGGGGGCCCGCACAAGCGGCGGAGCAUGCGGAUUAAUUCGAUGCAACGCGAAGAACCUUACCAAGGCUUGACAUAUACCGGAUCGUUCCAGAGAUGGUUCUUCCCCUUUGGGGUCGGUAUACAGGUGGUGCAUGGUUGUCGUCAGCUCGUGUCGUGAGAUGUUGGGUUAAGUCCCGCAACGAGCGCAACCCUCGUUCCAUGUUGCCAGCACGUGAUGGUGGGGACUCAUGGGAGACUGCCGGGGUCAACUCGG
rnacentral:rRNA from 1 species